CAGGAACAGAGUAAGUGCUGCAGUUUCGGAUCCCGUGGAGUCAUGGAGGAGCUCAUAACGUGAAACGAGGCAACAGGGAAAAUUUUAAACAAGAACAUGCAGGUUGAAGCACCAGUCAGUGCACUGAUUGCAGUUGUGUACAGACCUCCAGACUACACUCUGAGGCCAUUCCUGAAAAACCUGAACCAGUAUCGCAGAGUUCAGGGGUGUCAGGAAAAACUUUCAACCAAACAACUGACAGUAUGAUGAGCUGACGGCCCAAGCUGUACACAGAAAAAUAAGAAGACAAGAACCUGAACUUCAUGGCCACCAUCUAAGAGUAUCAAAACACUGCAUAACAAACACUGCACUCAAGUAAUUUACCAACCCUCACUGUAGUGAGCAUGCAGUGCAAAGCCAUAUUGAUGUGUGUUUGUUUGUUUUUUGUAGCUAGAUAGAUUGUUAGAUAUGACCCAUACCUUCACUAUAAUAAAUGCCAUGCAAGUGCCAAAACUAUACAACCUAAUACUAUUGCAGUAGUAUUAUACUGUACUAUUAGAGCUAUUUUCGAAGCAUCAGAUCUAUGCUCACAAGUAAACAUCUCAUACUUCAAAAUUUGCUGAAAAUAAAGGGACUGAUGGCCCAUCUAUCGAUAGAUAGUAAGAUAUCUGUCUUACUAUAUAGAUAGAUAUUUUAUUUUUUGCUUAUUACUCUCUUUAAAUUGGGAGGCUGAGCUUUCAAAUAUAACAAAUCUGAAUAGAUUACAUACUGCUGCAAUAGUGUUGUUAUGUACAGCUUUGGUUCUUGUGAGAAAUGCCAAUCAGUCACUUUUUGUUUGGCCACGAUCAGGUGGUGUUUUUCUUUUUAUUUGGGAUGCAAGGCUUUAAAAUAUUAUAAGUUUAGGAGAUUCCUCCCAUCAGAUCAAACUGUACACAGUAAUACUACCGCAGCACUGAACUUCUAUAAGACACUGACUGUGACAUACUGAAUUAGAUCAGCCACUCACAGAUGCAUUUACACCAAAGUGAUGGGUGGCCCCAGAAGUUGCCUCACUCAUCCUCCAACUGUUGACUGACCUGGAUGGGGCACACUUCUCAGCAUACAUCUGAUGCUUCCAAAUUUGUUCAUCCAAGUGACUGUUAAGCUGCCUUAGCUGAAUGGAUUAGUAUCAUGUUUUAGCUUUCUACAGUUCUUUGUGAAUAUACCAGUGUUCUUUUAUAUUAAUUGUUCUGAUUGCUUUAUGUGAAUAUGGUAGGUAGAUCACUUGUUUCUAAUAAUUUGUUUCCUUAAUUUAAUUUUGCAAAGUUGAAUUAAAACCUC